rnacentral:rRNA from 1 species
CCUUUGUACACACCGCCCGUCGCUACUACCGAUUGAAUGGCUUAGUGAGGUCUUCGGAUUGGCUCCGGGAAGCCGGAAACGGCAUCCUGUUGCUGAGAAGUUGAUCAAACUUGGUCAUUUAGAGG